rnacentral:rRNA from 1 species
CCGGAGCUUGCUCCACCGGAAAAAGARGAGUGGCGAACGGGUGAGUAACACGUGGGUAACCUGCCCAUCAGAAGGGGAUAACACUUGGAAACAGGUGCUAAUACCGUAUAACAAUCGAAACCGCAUGGUUUUGAUUUGAAAGGCGCUUUCGGGUGUCGCUGAUGGAUGGACCCGCGGUGCAUUAGCUAGUUGGUGAGGUAACGGCUCACCAAGGCCACGAUGCAUAGCCGACCUGAGAGGGUGAUCGGCCACAUUGGGACUGAGACACGGCCCAAACUCCUACGGGAGGCAGCAGUAGGGAAUCUUCGGCAAUGGACGAAAGUCUGACCGAGCAACGCCGCGUGAGUGAAGAAGGUUUUCGGAUCGUAAAACUCUGUUGUUAGAGAAGAACAAGGAUGAGAGUAACUGUUCAUCCCUUGACGGUAUCUAACCAGAAAGCCACGGCUAACUACGUGCCAGCAGCCGCGGUAAUACGUAGGUGGCAAGCGUUGUCCGGAUUUAUUGGGCGUAAAGCGAGCGCAGGCGGUUUCUUAAGUCUGAUGUGAAAGCCCCCGGCUCAACCGGGGAGGGUCAUUGGAAACUGGGAGACUUGAGUGCAGAAGAGGAGAGUGGAAUUCCAUGUGUAGCGGUGAAAUGCGUAGAUAUAUGGAGGAACACCAGUGGCGAAGGCGGCUCUCUGGUCUGUAACUGACGCUGAGGCUCGAAAGCGUGGGGAGCAAACAGGAUUAGAUACCCUGGUAGUCCACGCCGU